rnacentral:rRNA from 1 species
UNUGAAGUUAAAGGCAGUGGCUCAACCAUUGUAGGCUUNGGAAACUGUUUAACUUGAGUGCAGAAGGGGAGAGAGGAAUUCCAUGUGUAGCGGUGAAAUGCGUAGAUAUAUGGAGGAACACCGGUGGCGAAAGCGGCUCUNUGGUCUGUAACUGACGCUGAGGCUNGAAAGCGUGGGGAGCGAACAGGAUUAGAUACCCUGGUAGUNCACGCCGUAAACGAUGAGUGCUAGGUGUUAGGUCCUUUCCGGGACUUAGUGCCGCAGCUAACGCAUUAAGCACUCCGCCUGGGGAGUACGACCGCAAGGUUGAAACUCAAAGGAAUUGACGGGGGCCCGCACAAGCGGUGGAGCAUGUGGUUUAAUUCGAAGCAACGCGAAGAACCUUACCAGGUCUUGACAUCCUGAUGCCCGCUCUAGAGAUAGAGCUUUACUUCGGUACAUCGGUGACAGGUGGUGCAUGGUUGUCGUCAGCUCGUGUCGUGAGAUGUUGGGUUAAGUCCCGCAACGAGCGCAACCCUUAUUGUUAGUUGCCAUCAUUCAGCUGGGCACUCUAGCGAGACUGCCGGUAAUAAACCGGAGGAAGGUGGGGAUGACGUCAAAUCAUCAUGCCCCUUAUGACCUGGCUACACACGUGCUACAAUGGCUGGUACAACGAGUCGCAAGCCGGUGACGGCAAGCUAAUCUCUGAAAGCCAGUCUCAGUUCGGAUUGUAGGCUGCAACUCGCCUACAUGAAGUCGGAAUCGCUAGUAAUCGCGGAUCAGCACGCCGCGGUGAAUACGUUCCCGGGCCUUGUACACACCGCCCGUCACACCACGAGAGUUUGUAACACCCGAAGU